UACGUAGGGUGCGAGCGUUGUCCGGAAUUAUUGGGCGUAAAGAGCUCGUAGGCGGUGUGUCACGUCGGCCGUGAAAACCUGCAGCUUAACUGUGGGCGUGCUUUCGAUACGGGCAGACUGGAGGUAUGCAGGGGAGAACGGAAUUCCUGGUGUAGCGGUGAAAUGCGCAGAUAUCAGGAGGAACACCGGUGGCGAAGGCGGUUCUCUGGGCAUGUCCUGACGCUGAGGAGCGAAAGUGUGGGGAGCGAACAGG
rnacentral:rRNA from 1 species